CCAACGGCCCUCUUUAGGGCCACAAAUAAAAAAUAAUCCUUUUGCU
rfam:Caenorhabditis tropicalis strain JT1373 unplaced genomic scaffold Scaffold629, whole genome shotgun sequence.